AAGAGAAAUCCUGGGGACCGGUCCGACUGUUAAAACCAAAAUAACAGCCCUCCAAUAACCAUGCGCCACGUAAGAGGUUCAUUGGAAAAAAUCUGCAUCUGCGUACACCCGAUCAAAUGACUCUCCCCUCUUUCACUCCUUCGUAUUCCCUUUCUUCCUCGCUUUUUCCACUCAAUCCCUGAAGCUCUCGACCCCCUCAUCCCGCAUGGGGCUCGACCCAAACGGUAGCAGAGCUCAAUUCAGACGAUGAAGAAGACCCAAACGGUGGUCUGAAAAAAUGGAGAUGUCGGCGUCGGACUGAGAUGGUGGCAGUGGAACUAAGCUUUGUUGGGCGGCAAGGAUUGAUGGCUGUGCAAAGCAACGCUGAGCUUGGAGCGAAGACGGAAUGAACCUGAGAGAGAAUGGAGAUGCUAAUUUCUGGGCUGCUUUUCAGGCUUUGACAGACGGACCGCUCCACAGCGCCUCGCAAAAAAAAAAU